GGUCCUGAGCGCCAGCGUCAAGCCCCGGCUUGCUGGCCGGCAACCCUCCUCCGCGGUGGGGUGCCCCGGGUGUGACCAGGCCCGCGGCGAACCCGCCGUCGGCAAGUGCGGACC
rnacentral:ncRNA from 16 species